UGCGAAGGGGGCUAGCGUUGCUCGGAAUCACUGGGCGUAAAGGGUGCGUAGGCGGGUCUUUAAGUCAGGGGUGAAAUCCUGGAGCUCAACUCCAGAACUGCCUUUGAUACUGAGGAUCUUGAGUUCGGGAGAGGUGAGUGGAACUGCGAGUGUAGAGGUGAAAUUCGUAGAUAUUCGCAAGAACACCAGUGGCGAAGGCGGCUCACUGGCCCGGUACUGACGCUGAGGCACGAAAGCGUGGGGAGCAAACAGGG
rnacentral:rRNA from 1 species